rnacentral:tRNA from 1 species
GCGCCCGUAGCUCAGCUGGAUAGAGCGUCGGACUUCGAAUCCGCAGGCCGCUGGUUCGAAUCCAGCCGGGCGCACCA